AAACCAACUGGGAUUACCUUAGUAACGGCGAGUGAAGCGGUAAACGCUCAAAUUUGAAAUCUGGUACUUUCAGUGCCCGAGUUGUAAUUUGUAGAAUUUGUCUUUGAUUAGGUCCUUGUCUAUGUUCCUUGGAACAGGACGUCAUAGAGGGUGAGAAUCCCGUUUGGCGAGGAUACCUUUUCUCUGUAAGACUUUUUCGAAGAGUCGAGUUGUUUGGGAAUGCAGCUCAAAGUGGGUGGUAAAUUCCAUCUAAAGCUAAAUAUUGGUGAGAGACCGAUAGCGAACAAGUACAGUGAUGGAAAGAUGAAAAGAACUUUGAAAAGAGAGUGAAAAAGUACGUGAAAUUGUUGAAAGGGAAGGGCAUUUGAUCAGACAUGGUGUUUUUGCAUGCACUCGCCUCUCGUGGGCUUGGGCCUCUCAAAAAUUUCACUGGGCCAACAUCAGUUCUGGCAGCAGGAUAAAUCAUUAAGAAUGUAGCUACCUCGGUAGUGUUAUAGCUUAUUGGAAUACUGCU
rnacentral:rRNA from 1 species